UCUACAUGAACUUUCUCACACAUAGAACUUGAACCAAGAUGAAUAGGUUUGGUGUAGAUUACAAGCUCAGAAAAGAAGUAAACUCCAGAGCAAAGGAAUGUGUCUCACCGUGUGAGGACAACAAGGGUUAGACUCUCCUGAAAUGAACCUUCCUUAGUGACAAGGAAAAAUUGUUAAGUGAAAACAACUCUCACGG